ACUUCGCUCCACAGUUCGAACUGCUAUCAAGAUGAAUUUAAUUUUGGAUUUUGAAAGUGACGGCUUUAAAAAUGUUGACAUUAAAUACGAACAAGACCAUGUAAAGCUUAGAACUAAUGUCAAGUGCAGAGAAGAAUUCAAGCAGUGGAAAGACAUUUUUUGUGUAAAAAAUAAUCAGUGCUUAAUUCUUAUAAAUUGUACCCAGUUGGAGGCGUAAAAAAACUAUUUCACCAAAGUUUGCUGUGCCAUCACGGUGUAAAACACAAAGGAUUAAAGAAAUUUGCAACAGGAUGCGAAGUCAAAAUGGAUGUCUCCAUCAGCAUUAUUCAUAAAAAGUCUCCUAAACACAUUAAAAAUUUUCCAUGUUCUGUGGAUAUCCGUGGGCAACACAACCAACUCGACUGAAGUAGCGCAAGGUCUUAACCAGCUGAGAGUAUCAGAAAGUACGAAGGUGGUGUUUGAGCAGUACUUCGAGCAAGGCACUACACCAGUGCAGACACAUCGGCAUCAUAUGUAAGGUACUCCAAGAUGGACUGUCUGAUGAUGACAUAGAUAUGCAAACUGAGCAUACUAUAAAUAAGGAAUAUAUAAUAUUAAGGAUGAACCUAUACAUGAGUAACUACAUAUUAAGUUACAAUAUUAAGGAUGAACUUAUACAUGAAUUACUACAUAUAGUUAUAAUAUAAUGUACAUAUCAUAAUUAUGUGGAUGUAUUACAGGCACUACACCAGUGCAGACACAUCAGCAUCAUAUGUAAGGUAUC